AAGAAGCAAGACCGCGAGGUGGAGCAAAACUCAAAAACUUGUCUCAGUUCGGAUUGUAGGCUGAAACUCGCCUACAUGAAGCUGGAGUUGCUAGUAAUCGCGAAUCAGCAUGUCGCGGUGAAUACGUUCCCGGGCCUUGUACACACCGCCCGUCACACCAUGAGAGUUGGCAAUACCCAACGUACGUGAUCUAACCCGCAAGGGAGGAAGCGUCCUAAGGUAGGGUCAGCGAUUGGGGUGAAGUCGUAACAAGGUAAC
rnacentral:rRNA from 1 species